ACCGAGCAAGUCAGUCAAGCAUGGAUAGCGGGCGUCGGCGGUCGAAAAUGUGGCUUUAUUUUACUAAAAAAAAUGAAAUAUUGGCGAAAUGUAACACGUGCGACAGGACUGUUUCGUGCUUAGGAGGGUGCACGUCGAACAUGAUGAAGCACCUCCGAGUUCAUGGAGUACAAAUAAAUGCGUGUACCGUCUUCGACGCGCUGCGCCGACCGUCCUCCUCUGACUCCGACGCCCAGCCUGGCACCUUGGUGACUGCACUGCAGUCCGAAUCUGACAAUUUACAACCUGCGAGCCAGGCUCCGUGAUGUGCUCAGCAUACUCCGUUCACCGUAGCGGCAAUGGGGAAGAUGUCGGUGCCACAGACGGAAGAGUGCCACAGAAAGGUCACUGCACACAUAGUCAAAAGACUGCAUCCCUUUUCAGAGGUGGAAUCUCCAACAUUUAGGGAUAUGGUGAAAACUCUCAACCCAAAAUACAUACCACCUUCCAGGGACUACCUGUCAAACACAUUGAUGGUACAAGAAGAAUCGGAAUCGAGAAUAGUCAGGAAUCGGAAUCGAAACAAAGAAUCGGAAUCGGAAUCGUACCAAUUCAAACGAUACCCAACCCUAGUAGUGUACACAUCAAAGCCAUUCAUACAUUCUAAUCUUGCAACUUGUUUCUACAUCUAAAUUCAUGCAGAGGCUUUCAACACAAUUAUUUUUAUGUCAAAUAGAAAAUAGAUAAAUCAGUCAUUUUAAAAAAGGUGCCAUCUCCCAACAGCAAAAUGUAAAAGAAACAAUCUUGUUUCUACAGGAUAAUCACCAUGAAGACGAUGUGAAAUAAAAUUCACAAAUCAAGAGUGUAAUCAAAUAAUUUAGUGAGCAAUAUACAAGCUGUUGAUUCUUUUUGAAUGGACUUUUAGGUGACAUGAUAAGGUAAAAAGAUGGAAACAAACCUGCUCUGUGUGGCACAACUUGAGGUUUGAAAACAGCAUCCAGUAGUUCUUGUAGACGUUUGUUCUCCUCCUUUGUCCUAGAAAGUUCCUCUUAGUACUUUGCUAUGGUUCUUUCCAACACUCCAAAUAUUUCUUCAACAGUAACAUCGAGUCGCUGCUCCACCAACCUUCUCACCUUUAGUAAUUCGCACAUUUUGUCCUGCGUGUUGCUAACUUCCGGCUUUAUUUCUAGGCUCAUGUUUUAAAUGUAAAAAGCGGAAAAGCUGAUUUUAAAAGUAAGUAAGUAAUUAUUUUGAGUGCAAAAAGAGAUGAGAUGAAGACGUUUCCUGCCAACACCUAGUGAUGGGUGGUUCGCGAACGAUCCGUCUUUAAAAGAUCCUGCUCUUUGAAGUAGCAGCUCUUUGAUAUCAAAGAACCUUUGACCAAUUAUUCCUUUAGUUUAACGGCAGCUUGCAGCAAUGACAUGAAAGGUGCAUACUGCCAUCUACUGCAGCGAAGUAUGUCACAUGCGCUAUAUUCAUGUACUUACACUGUAACAACUAAUACUG